GGGCGCUUGGUCUAGGGGUAUGAUUGUAAGUUCCACCACUCAACACCAGCACUCAACAGUGUUCUAAUAACUCUCAGUUCGCUUCGCAUCAUCUGAUCGCACUUGUGAAAGGUCGUGGGUUCAAUUCCCACAGCGUCCA
rnacentral:tRNA from 1 species